rnacentral:snRNA from 1 species
AAAUGGAUUUUUGGAGCAGGGAGUUGGAAUAGGAGCUUGCUCCGUCCACUCCACGCAUCGACCUGGUAUUGCAGUACUUCCAGGAACGGUGCACUCCCC